rnacentral:tRNA from 1 species
GGCCGGGUGGCCAAGUGGGAAGGCAGGGGACUGCAAAUCCCUUAUGAGCGGGUUCGAUUCCCGCCCCGGCCUCCA